rnacentral:pre_miRNA from 1 species
UUACUAUUCUUUCCGUCUGAAAAUACUUGUCAUUAAAAUGGAUAAAAAAAGAUAUAUUUUAAUUCUAGAUACAUCUCUUUCUGUUUAUUUUGAUGACAAAUAUUUUUAGACGGAGGGAGUAUUCA